rnacentral:rRNA from 1 species
GACGAACGCUGGCGGCGUGCUUAACACAUGCAAGUCGAGCGGUAAGGCCCCUUCGGGGGUACACGAGCGGCGAACGGGUGAGUAACACGUGAGCAAUCUGCCCUUCACUUUGGGAUAACCACCGGAAACGGUGGCUAAUACCGGAUACGACCAGUCUCUGCAUGGGGUGCUGGUGGAAAGUUCUGGCGGUGGAGGAUGAGCUCGCGGCCUAUCAGCUUGUUGGUGGGGUAAUGGCCUACCAAGGCGACGACGGGUAGCCGGCCUGAGAGGGUGACCGGCCACACUGGGACUGAGACACGGCCCAGACUCCUACGGGAGGCAG